AACGUAGGUGGCGAGCGUUAUCCGGAUUUACUGGGCGUAAAGGGUGUGCAGGCGGGCUGUUAAGUGGUGUAUGAAAUAUCCCGGCUCAACCGGGAAGGGUUAUGCCAGACUGGCAGUCUAGAGAGCGAGAGAGGGACGUGGAAUUCCGGGUGUAGUGGUGAAAUGCGCAGAUAUCAGGAGGAACACCGAUGGCGAAGGCAGGUCUCUGGGCAUUAACUGACGCUGAGGAGCGAAAGCAUGGGGGAGCGAACAGG
rnacentral:rRNA from 1 species